rnacentral:rRNA from 1 species
AGUGCCGUGACUGCAGUCGACGGUACGGAAGAGCUUGCUUCUUUGCUGACGAGUGGCGGACGGGUGAGUAAUGUCUGGGAAACUGCCUGAUGGAGGGGGAUAACUACUGGAAACGGUAGCUAAUACCGCAUAACGUCGCAAGACCAAAGAGGGGGACCUUCGGGCCUCUUGCCAUCGGAUGUGCCCAGAUGGGAUUAGCUAGUAGGUGGGGUAACGGCUCACCUAGGCGACGAUCCCUAGCUGGUCUGAGAGGAUGACCAGCCACACUGGAACUGAGACACGGUCCAGACUCCUACGGGAGGCAGCAGUGGGA